rnacentral:tRNA from 1 species
GGUUUGGCGGUUUAGUUGGUUAUGGCAUCCCAUUAACAUCGAGAAGUUCCCCGGUUGAAUCCCGGGCGGAACCA